AGUGAACGCUGGCGGUAGGCCUAACACAUGCAAGUCGAACGGCAGCACAGUAAGAGCUUGCUCUUACGGGUGGCGAGUGGCGGACGGGUGAGGAAUACAUCGGAAUCUACUUUUUCGUGGGGGAUAACGUAGGGAAACUUACGCUAAUACCGCAUACGACCUACGGGUGAAAGCAGGGGAUCUUCUGACCUUGCGCGAUUGAAUGAGCCGAUGUCGGAUUAGCUAGUUGGCGGGGUAAAGGCCCACCAAGGCGACGAUCCGUAGCUGGUCUGAGAGGAUGAUUGGCCACACUGGAACUGAGACACGGUCCAGACUCCUGCGGGAGGCAGCAGUGGGGAAUAUUGGACAAUGGGCGCAAGCCUGAUCCAGCCAGACCGCGUGGGUGAAGAAGGCCUUCGGGUUGGAAAGCCCUUUUGUUGGGAAAGAAAAGCAGCAGGUUAAUACCCCGCUGUUCUGACGGUACCCAAAGAAUAAGCACCGGCUAACUUCGUG
rnacentral:rRNA from 1 species